rnacentral:rRNA from 1 species
GAUGAACGCUAGCUACAGGCUUAACACAUGCAAGUCGAGGGGUAGCAGGGUAGCAAUACCGCUGACGACCGGCGCACGGGUGAGUAACACGUAUCCAACCUUCCCAUAACUCGGGGAUAGCCUUUCGAAAGAAAGAUUAAUACCCGAUAGUACUUUUUCAAGGCAUCUUGAGAAAGUUAAAGAUUUAUUGGUUAUGGAUGGGGAUGCGUUCCAUUAGAUAGUUGGUGAGGUAACGGCUCACCAAGUCUUCGAUGGAUAGGGGUUCUGAGAGGAAGGUCCCCCACAUUGGUACUGAGACACGGACCAAACUCCUACGGGAGGCAGCAGUGAGGAAUAUUGGUCAAUGGGCGAGAGCCUGAACCAGCCAAGUAGCGUGAAGGAUGAAGGUCCUAUGGAUUGUAAACUUCUUUUAUAGUAGAAUAAAGUGACCUACGUGUAGGUUUUUGUAUGUAUACUAUGAAUAAGGAUCGGCUAACUCCGUGCCAGCAGCCGCAGUAAUAC